GAUGAACGCUAGCGGCAGGCUUAACACAUGCAAGUCGAGGGGUAUAGUUCUUCGGAGCUAGAGACCGGCGCACGGGUGUGUAACGCGUACGCAAUCUACCUUUUGCAGAGGGAUAGCCCAGAGAAAUUUGGAUUAAUACCUCAUGGUAUGUGAGAAUGGCAUCAUUUUCACAUUAAAGUCACAACGGCAAAAGAUGAGCAUGCGUCCCAUUAGCUAGUUGGUAAGGUAACGGCUUACCAAGGCAACGAUGGGUAGGUGUCCUGAGAGGGAGAUCCCCCACACUGGUACUGAGACACGGACCAGACUCCUACGGGAGGCAGCAGUGAGGAAUAUUGGACAAUGGCGCAAGCCUGAUCCAGCCAUGCCGCGUGCAGGAUGACGGUCCUAUGGAUUGUAAACUGCUUUUGUACAGGAAGAAACACUGGUUCGUGAACCAGCUUGACGGUACUGUAAGAAUAAGGAUCGGCUAACUCCGUGCCAGCAGCCGCCGUAAAAC
rnacentral:rRNA from 1 species